UCCUUAGUAGCUCAGUGGUUAGAGCUAACGGCUGUUAACCGUUCGGUCGUAGGUUCGAUUCCUACCUAAGGAG
rnacentral:tRNA from 1 species